GACAGAGGGUGCAACCGUUGUUCGGAAUUACUGGGCGUAAAGCGCGUGUAGGCGGCUGCGCAAGUCGGAUGUGAAAUCCCAUGGCUCAACCAUGGAAGUGCACCCGAAACUGCGUCGCUAGAGUCCUGGAGAGGAAGGUGGAAUGCUUGGUGUAGAGGUGAAAUUCGUAGAUAUCAAGCGGAACACCGGUGGCGAAGGCGGCCUUCUGGACAGUGACUGACGCUGAGACGCGAAAGCGUGGGGAGCAAACAGG
rnacentral:rRNA from 1 species